rnacentral:rRNA from 1 species
UACAGAGGUCUCAAGCGUUGUUCGGAUUUAUUGGGCGUAAAGGGUGUGUAGGCGGCGCGGUAAGUCGGGUGUGAAAUCUCGGGGCUUAACUCCGAAACUGCAUUCGAUACUGCCGUGCUUGAGGACUGGAGAGGAGACUGGAAUUUACGGUGUAGCGGUGAAAUGCGUAGAUAUCGUAAGGAAGACCAGUGGCGAAGGCGGGUCUCUGGACAGUUCCUGACGCUGAGGCACGAAGGCCAGGGGAGCAAACGGG